rnacentral:lncRNA from 1 species
UAAGCUAUUUUACAAUAUCUGGAUCAAACUAAUUAAAAGUUAAUGUAUACAAUUGAACAAUAAAACAUUGUUCAUGUGUGCUUUUGGGAUUUAACCCAUUUUGAUAUAUUUUUGUAAAUAUUAAUUUAUAUUUAUAUUUAUAUUAUUUACAUUUAUAUUCUAAAAUAUCCAAGAUUAAACACAAAUUCCUAAACCCUAAAGUGGAAACCCUAAAACCAUCUAUAAUAGGCUAUUUUUGCCCGGGCCCAAAUAAAUACAUAAUCCAUUUUUACAAAUAACCUAAACCCAUUAACCAAUUGAACCCAAUAAAGACCAAACCAUUAACCCUAGCCCAAUUACAGAGUGGCCCAAAAAGUUCAAAGAUCAGCAGAAACCCCAGGCAGUUUUCCCAACGCCGCACACGUCCUCAUGUCGCAGCAACUGUCCCGUUGCUCCACGUUCUUGCUCGCACGUCCAGUAGCCCCGCACAACGCACGUUUUCCAUACACAUGCAACAAACAAUCGAUAAUGGCAGAAAAUAUGACAAAAAUGUAAAUGGGGGGAAGUUUUCGAGGGCUUGUUUUUUUGAUUCGACUAUAUAAAGGCCAAUCGAUCUUUGUAAUGGGGAGCAAAAUUUUUUUUUGUACCGAAAUCAAAAAGAAAAUAUACAGAAAAAUAUUUUUGAAGGUGGGAUUUGGUUUUAUUUUUCUCUGUUCCUUUACUGUUUUUUUUCAAUUUAUUUUAGUUAUUUUCUUUUGCUUCUAAAAAACAACAAAUAAACAAAACGAGGAAGGGAGUAAAGGGAACUUACCGGUGUGGCGUCGUUGAAGCUCCUUUGUUUCAUCGCCAUAGGAGCAGAGGAGGGCAGAAGGAGAACAUUACGGCGCAAUGUCAAAGAAAGAAAGAAAAUGUUCUUUUUAGGG